rnacentral:rRNA from 1 species
CUGACGAGUGGCGGACGGGUGAGUAAUGCUUGGGAAUCUGGCUUAUGGAGGGGGAUAACUACGGGAAACUGUAGCUAAUACCGCGUAGUGUCGAAAGACGAAAGUGCGGGACCGCAAGGCCGCAUGCCAUAAGAUGAGCCCAAGUGGGAUUAGGUAGUUGGUGGGGUAAAGGCCUACCAAGCCUGCGAUCUCUAGCUGGUCUGAGAGGAUGGCCAGCCACACUGGAACUGAGACACGGUCCAGACUCCUACGGGAGGCAGCAGUGGGGAAUAUUGCGCAAUGGGGGGAACCCUGACGCAGCCAUGCCGCGUGAAUGAAGAAGGCCUUCGGGUUGUAAAGUUCUUUCGGUAUUGAGGAAGGUUGAUGUGUUAAUAGUACAUCAAAUUGACGUUAAAUACAGAAGAAGCACCGGCUAACUCCGUGCCAGCAGCCGCGGUAAUACGGAGGGUGCGAGCGUUAAUCGGAAUAACUGGGCGUAAAGGGCACGCAGGCGGUUAUUUAAGUGAGGUGUGAAAGCCCCGGGCUUAACCUGGGAAUUGCAUUUCAGACUGGGUAACUAGAGUACUUUAGGGAGGGGUAGAAUUCCACGUGUAGCGGU